AUUGAACGCUGGCGGAAUGCUUUACACAUGCAAGUCGAACGGCAGCACGGGGGCAGCCCUGGUGGCGAGUGGCGAACGGGUGAGUAAUACAUCGGAACGUGCCCGGUCGUGGGGGAUAACGUAGCGAAAGUUACGCUAAUACCGCAUACGAUCUGAGGAUGAAAGCGGGGGACCUUCGGGCCUCGCGCGAUCGGAGCGGCCGAUGUCAGAUUAGGUAGUUGGUGGGGUAAAGGCCUACCAAGCCGACGAUCUGUAGCUGGUCUGAGAGGACGACCAGCCACACUGGGACUGAGACACGGCCCAGACGCCUACGGGAGGCAGCAGUGGGGAAUGUUGGACAAUGGGCGCAAGCCUGAUCCAGCCAUUCCGCGUGCAGGACGAAGGCCUUCGGGUUGUAAACUGCUUUUGUACGGAACGAAAAGGCUCUGGCUAAUACCUGGGGCUCAUGACGGUACCGUAAGAAUAAGCACCGGCUAACUACGUG
rnacentral:rRNA from 1 species